rnacentral:rRNA from 1 species
AUUUUGAAUGAAUAAAUAGUCUGACCUGCCCACUGAUAUAAAUGAUUUAAGGGCCGCGGUAUUUUAACCGUGCAAAGGUAGCAUAAUCACUAGGUUUUUAAUUAGAAUCUUGUAUGAAUGGUUGGACAAAAAUAUAACUGUCUUUAUAUUAAAUUUUAAAUUUAACUUUUAAGUGAAAAGGCUUAAAUAUAUUAGAAAGACGAUAAGACCCUAUAAAACUUCACGUUAUAAUUUUAUUUAAUUAAAUUUUAAAGAUAAAGAUUUAAUUUUAUUAUGUGUUAUAUUGGGGAGAUAAAGGUAAAAUUUUUUUUAACUGCUUUAUAUUUAAACAAAUAUUUAUGAAUAUUAAAGGAUCCUUUAUAUUGAUUAAAAGAUUAAGUUACUUUAGGGAUAACAGCGUUAUUUUUUUUGAGAGUUCAUAUCGAAAAAAAAGUUUGCGACCUCGAUGUUGAAUUAAAAUAUCUUUAUA